rnacentral:rRNA from 1 species
UACGUAGGGUGCAAGCGUUGUCCGGAAUUUUGGGCGUAAAGAGCUCGUAGGCGGUCUGUCACGUCGGAUGUGAAAACUCGGGGCUCAACCCCGAGCCUGCAUACGAUACGGGCAGACUUGAGUUCGGCAGGGGAGACUGGAAUUCCUGGUGUAGCGGUGAAAUGCGCAGAUAUCAGGAGGAACACCGGUGGCGAAGGCGGGUCUCUGGGCCGAUACUGACGCUGAGGAGCGAAAGCGUGGGGAGCGAACAGG